CGUCAGGCUCUCUCGCUGCUGCUUGUCCCGACUGCACGCCAUCAGUGGAAGGCAGACAAGAUGCCCCAUUGGGAACAGAUGGCUUUCUGGAAAUCUACCAACAAGGGCUACUCCUGGAAUAGAUUUCAUCUGCAGGCCCCACACAGAGAUGUUUUGUGCUGGAUAAACCACACUGCUUCUGGGGAGUGCUGCUGUCACAGAAGACCUUGCAUAGUCAGGGUGAGCUGGAGAGCUCAUGGUACCAGCCAAUAAGAGACAUUCCCAUUAAAAAAAGGUUUAUCUGAACAGAAUUCAGAGACUCAAUCUACUGGUUCCUUAUCCCACAGUGGUGGGAAAAAGGAGACGUCAAAUUUGCUCAUUCAGUGCUUCUGGUGCUUCUGCAUAAAUAUAUUUUCCUAUAAUAUUUUUACUAUAAUGCCCAAGGGAGAAGUGCUGGCAGAAUCCAAAUUUUUAGAUGUUUAUUAUCCCUUGCACAUGUAUUUUCCAUUAACAUCAGUGGAAUUAAACAUAUACAUAGGGAAAAGAAAAUAAACAGUUAAUGACCUAACAGAGAAAGGGCCCCCAGAAAACAAGUCAGCUGUAGAGGGGAGGAAAAUUAUUUUCCUGAACUAAUUAUACAUAACAGCAAUGGAAAAGACCUGGCAGACUUGCAUCAUCUGUCUCUGCCCUCUGCAGGACAGAGGGAUCGUAUCUAUGUUAGUCUCUCCUGCUUCACAUGUAAACUACCCUUAGAGAGUUUGAGUGACACUAAAUCAAAUGCCUUCAGAGCCUUACGACUGGCAGCACUGUUGUGCAGUUUCCCCAUAAGAGCUGCUUCCUCUGCUAAGAAAAUACAUGGCAGUACUUUGCCCCCUUGUUCCCUCUGUGUACUGUGACAGAAGGAAGUCAAGCACUACAUGAUGCUCCGAGAAGGAGGAUUUCCUAGCAGGUAGGUCUGUUUUAGAGGGAGGAACUUUAGGGCAUUACAAAACCACAGUUUUAACUUAUGUGCCUGUGAAAACAGGAACGUAUGCUGCAAAGUGUGCUGCCUCCAAAAAUCCCAAAUCAUUAAAGAAAUAGUGUGGAUGAAUGGAGUCACAGCAAGUUUAACAUUCCACAGUUUUGAUGAAAGCAGUGGAAGAGUCAAGUGUGACUUACCAAAACUGUAGGGAAGUGUUCUGACCAUUUCCAUGGUCAGAACAAACAGAACAACAGAACAGAACAAACAAACACAACAGUGUUUUUCCUCCCAUACUGGUCCUUCUAACAUUUCGUGUGACAACUUCUGAUGUCUCAUUUGAACUGGCAACAGAAGCAGACACUUCAGAUUUGCUAGAGUAUUACAACUGCUGGUGUCCAUCCUUCGCCCUAACAUUGCAUUAAAACUACUAUAAAUGCAGCAAAGCAGUAAAUGGGUAUCAACAUACCAUUCGGGUAAACUGGGUGCUCUGAUGAAGACUACAUUGAAAAGACACAACUUAACACAUCUGAAAGUAUUUACGUUCACCUAACACCUUGUGAACAUCUUCCUGAGGAUUAACUAUUCUGUCCAUUGACAGACAUUUCCAUAUGAAACUGAAGGAACAUAUAUAUACGCAUCCUUCCUUAGAAUAACACAUUUCUUC
ensembl:lncRNA